rnacentral:lncRNA from 1 species
UGGCCUGCGCGUAUAUAGUUAAUUUUUACCUCAGCGGCUGGGCGGGCCAUGGCACGCUUUUGCCCUCGCGAAGCUCCACCGGUGCUUCCUUGCUCCCUAGUGUUGUUCAUUAUACUGUAUCUUAGGAACCUUAAUUACUUAUUUCUUUCUACUGCAAGGUAUUUGGUCAGUUUCAACCUGGACCGCGUAUCUUGGAGUGACAACCCACAUUCAGCUGUUAUAUCUCGAAAUGGCUCACAUGCCAAGUUGGAUUCCAUUCCUGUGCAGGUGAAUUUUGGCUUUGUCUUCUUCUUUUACAUUGUCAUGUAAAUCUGAAAUUACUCAAUAUCAAUUUAUGUAUGCAACAGUAUUUAACUACUAGGUGUAAAUGUAAAAAAUGUUGAUAUAACUUCAAACAUUUUAAUUUUGGAAGACAAUGAUUACCCCAAUCCAAUUGGAGUUCAGUCAGCGUUUACUAUUGCUCACUUGUUAUACAGUGUACUGUCUAUCUAUGUUAGACCACUUCUUGGUUCUUUUAGGAAUGGUAAAUCUCACCAUGGACUCAUUGUUUGGGCAAAAAAAAAACACUUGUUUUUAUCAUUAGUAAUAUUAUGCCAAUGGCAAUUAUUACUGAGCAAACAGAGACAUAGGUGAUGGUGGCACUGUGAAGAGCGUCUUAUAUAUCCGUCAGGUUUGGUCAGCUGUGAAUGUUCAAACAGUUGUGGUGGUGUAUCCACUUCAUAUUUUUGUUAAAACCUGAAGUAAUAUUGCAUUUCUUUAUUGUGGUCAAUACUUUCAUGUAGUUUGGAACAUGAUGAGUCACUAUUGCAUGUGUUUCAGUAUGCCAAAGCUGAAAACAUGUGUGGCAGGUAGUUAGAAUAGUGUGGUGUGCGAGCUACAAAUGGGACACGUGUCACGCUCCGGAGGCGACGGACGCCCGUGCUGGAUCAGCCGGCUGCUCUCAAGCUAUUCCCUUGUUCUAAAUUGGUUAACUGAAGUUCUCUCAUGCUCGUGAAUAUUUGGUCUUUGUAAAGAAUUCUACUAUUAGAAUAAUGAGAUCACUAGGUGGAUCAUUUAAUUGCCUAAAAUGUUUUGCUUUUAAGUGUUUUUUAUUUUACAUGAAAAAAAGCAAGUUUUAUAGGAAUUGGCUUUAAUUGGUGAAGAAAGUAUGCCUCCAGUAUUACUUUUUCUGGUUUUCUAACUACAAACUACAGAACAUUGUAUUGUAUGGACCAUCCUGUAUUGUAUGAACCAUCUGUUUUGCUAGACCAAGCCCUAUCAGUGUAUAUAAACUUCAUUUUUUGUGGUACUUGAUGAAUAAGAAAUGAUCUCUCCAUCCUUUGCUUAAAAAUUGUUUGGAAAAUCAACUACUCCCUCUGUAAACAAAUAUAAGAGCGUUUAGAUCACAACUUUAGUGAUCUAACCGGUCUUAUAUUUCUUUACGGAGGGAGUAUAUUAUUACUCUGUAGAUUCAUUUGGGGGCUGGCUGUUAUUACUUACUAUAAUUUUGUAUAUGUUUUGGAUUCUAUGCAGGUUGGCACUCAGCUGGGGAUUGAAGUUUUUAGCAGGAAUUACUUGGCUUCGAAUAACUACCUGGAAGCAUUAGUGGUGCAGUGUUGGAGAUUAAAUCCAGCUAGUACUAUAGUAUACUUGAAAUAAAAAAAAUGCUUAUAGCGCUUUCUAUAUAUGUUGUGAUACAAAUAUUUGUUUUCAGAAAUCAGACUAGAUUGUUGGAAGUUUGUAUUUUCUUGUGGCCAGAUGCUAUUGUGUGAAUGAAUUUGUCUUGUUGCAAUUGGGUUGCAUGAAAAACACGCUGGACAAAAAAUGGGCUAAUGGUUGGACUAAAAGAAUAGGUAUUCUAAUGGGUAGA